GACGAACGCUGGCGGCGUGCUUAACACAUGCAAGUCGAACGAUGAACCCGGAGCUUGCUCUGGGGGAUUAGUGGCGAACGGGUGAGUAACACGUGAGUAACCUGCCCUGGACUCUGGGAUAAGCGUUGGAAACGACGUCUAAUACCGGAUAGGACCUUGGAUCGCAUGAUCUGGGGUGGAAAGUUUUUUCGGUCUGGGAUGGACUCGCGGCCUAUCAGCUUGUUGGUGAGGUAAUGGCUCACCAAGGCGUCGACGGGUAGCCGGCCUGAGAGGGUGACCGGCCACACUGGGACUGAGACACGGCCCAGACUCCUACGGGAGGCAGCAGUGGGGAAUAUUGCACAAUGGGCGAAAGUCUGAUGCAGCAACGCCGCGUGCGGGAUGACGGCCUUCGGGUUGUAAACCGCUUUUAGUAGGGAAGAAGGGCUUCGGCUUGACGGUACCUGCAGAAAAAGGACCGGCUAACUACGUG
rnacentral:rRNA from 1 species